rnacentral:rRNA from 1 species
GACGAACGCUGGCGGCGUGCCUAAUACAUGCAAGUUGAGCGCUGAAGGUUGGUACUUGUACCGACUGGAUGAGCAGCGAACGGGUGAGUAACGCGUGGGGAAUCUGCCUUUGAGCGGGGGACAACAUUUGGAAACGAAUGCUAAUACCGCAUAAAAACUUUAAACACAAGUUUUAAGUUUGAAAGAUGCAAUUGCAUCACUCAAAGAUGAUCCCGCGUUGUAUUAGCUAGUUGGUGAGGUAAAGGCUCACCAAGGCGAUGAUACAUAGCCGACCUGAGAGGGUGAUCGGCACAUUGGGACUGAGACACGGCCCAAACUCCUACGGGAGGCAGCAGUAGGGAAUCUUCGGCAAUGGACGAAAGUCUUACCGAGCAACGCCGCGUGAGUGAAGAAGGUUUUCGGAUCGUAAAACUCUGUUGGUAGAGAAGAACGUUGGUGAGAGUGGAAAGCUCAUCAAGUGACGGUAACUACCCAGAAAGGGACGGCUAACUACGUG